UUGGCUAGCGAAAGGGUCGUCAGAACGAGGCUAUGAAUAGGUCGUUCUCAGAUCCUAUGCGUAGCGUAAUAGGAGAUGUACUUCAGUCAGAUUGAUACUGAUAUACGUUAAGGUUUGAGGCGUUUAAUCAAAUAUGUUUACAUAAAAAUCUUAACUUAUGAUUUAGGAAUUUAAAAUAAGAGUUUAGUAUGGAAGUAUCAGGAAGAAAAGCUGAUCAAGACAGGAGUGUAGCUAGUGGGAAAAUAUAUCACUUUUGUGAACCAUGCCAAGAUGAGCAGGUAAUGACACGAGCGAAUGGUCUAUGUCGAGAAUGUAAAGAAUAUAUGUGUAAUACAUGCUUCCAACAUCAUCUAAAAGCGAGGCAAUGUAGAAACCACGUGUUUCUUGAUGCAAGUGAUCAGUCAGCAUCGUCGCAUGAAGGUGAUGGAAAGGCCGUGAAAUGUAAAUUUCAUAAGAACGAAACGAUCAAAUACUAUUGUCGUAAGCAUGACAUUGUAGGGUGUGGUGACUGUAUGGUACUUGGGCACGGCGCUUGUAAGCCAGAAUUUGUGAAGGACUUAGUGAAAGAUUUCCAAGAAAACGGAGUGUUCCGACGUUUCGUUGGAAAACUUGAAAAUUUGACAUCUGCAAUCGCAGAGAGUGAAAAGAAAAUUCAAGAUGAUAUGAGAGAAAAUAAAACAAUGUAUGAAAUUGCACUGAAAGAAAUAAUUAAGUUUAGAGCAGACAUUAAUGAGUAUUUGGAUAAGGCUGAAACAGAUGUUAUAACUGAGGUAAAUCGUUUUAAGUCUGAAAAUGAAAACCUACUGGUCAAGCUGGAGAAGAACUGCAAGGAACUUUCUUGUAAAAUAGGCAAAGUUAAACAGGUAAUAAAUGCAGAAAACUGCCGAGGUACUUCACUAUUUAUUCAUUCAGUUGAGUGCAAGCCUGACGUGCUAGACAUUGAACGUGCAUUAGCCCAGCUGAAAUUAAAAAAUAAUAUUGAGAAAAUCACGUUUGUACCUGACAAACAGUUGUUCAAUAUCGUCGCUUCUAAAACAAAGCUCGGAGAAAUGGCCGUUCCAGCGUUUGCUGACGUAAAGCAACUGUCUCAUGCGACGAUUGAUAAAACGCCCGAUGAGAAAAUUCAAAGAAAACAACUCAGCGAGACGAAAGAAGUGUUGAGAUCAAAUGCUGGGGUAAACGGGACACACGCAAUGCCAGUCAGUAAGAAAGAUGGCGAAAUUGUUUUCGAAACGUAUUAUCAUCAGAGCGGGAUAGAGUUUCAGUGUAUUUACCAGAAUGAAACUCGAUACUACCUCGCUGACUCUUGGGAAUGGCUGGAAUUUCCUGAACAUUGGUACAUCGAAGGCGUGUUGAUGACUAAAUCUGUCCUCAAAGAUGAUAGUACUGAAAACAAUUACAGGAAGAAAUAAAUACCAGACGGACCGAGAUACAGGAAGAAACGUUCAUUAAGAAUUUAUUUGCAUGAGUGUGUCUCUUAAAAGAUCCAAAUGAAUGUACUAUUAAAGCUCAAAUGGAUGUGUUUAUAUCCAGAUGGACAUUUUUAUAAUAACUUUGUUAGGAAAGCACACAUAACAUUACUACACAACAAUACUUUGUGACAUAAAUAUUACCUUGAACAAAGCUUCUAAUUACUCAAAAAUUCAACAAAAAUAACAAGUACGCCAAAAACUGCAAAAAUGUAUCCAACCAAUUAGAUAUUUUUUUUUUAUAUUUGAGGCCCGUUAGAGGUAACCCCGUUUAUUUUUACCUUCACAAUUCAUAAUUAAACAAUGACACAGAAACAGCAAUUAUAUAAAUCAUUAGUUCUUUGUAACAUGCAUAUGUAGCAAAGGUUAAAUGUCGGUUGUGUUUUUUGUUAAUUGUAUGCACACACAUAUAUACACACACAAAUAUAAUCACAUCCACACCAUAUAUAUCUCCCUAAUAUUAUUGAUCUAACCCUAUUGAGAAUACAUAUACUAAGUUAUAGCUAAAACAUUUAGUAAAGUACAUACAAGGUGACAUAUGAAUCCAUUUUGGUAAAUUCAAAUUGCUAUAAAUGUCAAACUGACGAAACAUCGCCAAUUUAUUAAAGAAUGUGGCACUCGUUCCCUAGUACUAUUAAAAUAAUCUUACAAUUAGAUUUUAAAAAUGGAUUUAUAGCCUUGUUUGACGCCGAAAAGUCGAAAAGCGAGAAAGAAGACUACAAAGAAGGAAACCAAAUAGUGCUUUGUAAGGGGGACAAUUCUUGAGACCUUGUUAGUACUUUUUACAAGGGAGGCAAAUCUUAUAACUUGAAAACACUGUUGUUUUAUAAGGGAGACAAUUCAUGAGACCUUGUUAAUACUUUUUACAAGGGAAACAAAGCUUAUAACUUGUCACAAUAAUAACUACUGCCUCACAUAUCUUAGUUUGGAAACAAAAAAAAAGGAAAAAUAAAAAGAUACAAGAUCAGAAAGAGCAUUCUACAUUAUGAAAAUGGCAGUGCAGUGCUGGGAGAUGGGGGGAUUGACCUAAAAUAAACCCUUAAUCCUCAUUGUCAAGCAGGAUGGCAUAAUUACCCCAUAUUUCAUUGAAUUUAUUCAGUCUGUUGUCUUUUUUAGCAUUAUACAUUUCUGUCUUAAGUAAAAGUUUAACUUGGUGUUUAAACAACUCAAUGUUUGGAAUUACAUUCUUCAUUUUGCAUUUAUAAAUUGUUAAUUUUGCAGCCAAGAUAAUAUUUGUAAUUGCUUUACUAAAUGUUACAUUUCCCAUUAUAAUAUCUAUGUUUGACCAGACCAAAGAUUCAGCCGGACAUUUGUCUGUUAGCCAUUCUUUUACAUUAUUCCAGAAAGUUAUGGUUUCAUGACAAUCUAAAAACAAAUGUUUUAUGGUUUCACUAUGUGCAUUACAAAAACUACAUAGAUCAUUAUUUUUAAUUCCCAUUUUUUGUAGCAUAUAAUUUGUUCCAAGAAUUCUAUGGUUAAUUCUGUAUUGUAACCAUUGAAGCACUGGGUCUUUAGUGACAGAAAAAGGUAGUUUGUAUAAUGGUCCCCAGUUAAGAUUGACAACAGGGUUCAACUCGUCACACCAUUUCCUCUUAGAACUUGGGAAAUUAUUAAAAUUAGACAUAAAGUCAUAGAUAGUUCUGCAUCCCUUAAUUUGACUGUUCAUGAUUUUAACUGUCAAAGGUUGUAUGGGAAUAGACUCUUUCACUGCAAAAUGAGUAACAUUUAAAGUAUCAAGAAAACUUCUCAUUGCUUCUAUAGUACUUAUGUAUUCUAAAAAAAAAAAAUGGUAUUUAUGUUGUAAAUAUUGUUAAAAUCAUUAAAAGAAUAGAAGUUGCCAUUCCUAUCCAAAAAGUCAUUGACCAAAACAAUACCACUUCUUACAUAUCUAGGAAAACAGACACAUGAACCUCCAACUUUAAACAUAGUAUUGUGCCAUACUGGCAGAUGACAAAAAUCACCCCAGGACUUAGGAUGCUUUGAAUUUAAUUUUAAAAAAACCCAUAAGAACAUCUUUCCAAAAAUUAUUCCUAACUGUAUUCAUGUUCAUUUUACAAAAAUUGCAACCAAAUUUGGUCAAAUUAUUGAUGAAUGGGUAUAUAUCUCUAACCAUAUUAAAGUAUUUAGAAUUAUUUUUCAUAUAUCUCCUGAGCCAUGUGAUCUUUAAGGAAGACAUGAAUAUUUCAAGAUUUAUCAUUCGCAAUCCUCCAUACUCAUAGGAAUUCAUUAUUGUAUUGCGUUUUAUUUUAUCUGGACCUGAAGACCAUAGAAAUUUAAAGAAAAUAUUUUGAAUUUUUUUAAUAAUGUCUAUACUUGGAUUAGGUAAACUCAUAAUAAGGUGAUUUAUCUUAGAAAGGGCUAAUGUUUUAAUUACAACAAUUUUUCCUAUUGGGCUAAUUUUUCUCUUUGACCAUUGAUUAAACAGUUUUUUAAUUUCCUCACUUUUUUGUAAAAUAGUCUUCAUCUAUAAUAUCGUUCAAAUCUAAAGUGAAGUUAACUCCAAGUAAUUUAAAUGACUCUGAUUCCUACUGUAGUCCAAGACCUGGACAAAUUCUUAUAUUACUGUUUCAAACAUUUACUUUUUGCAAAAGCUAAAAAGUUAAUUUUUUGUUUCACGUUCUUAAUACCUCCACGCAGCAAGGUGCGUGCGUGCGUGUGCGCGUGCGUGCGUGUGUGUCUAUUUAGGGACCAUUUGUUUUUGCCGACUUCUAAUGGCAGACUUUACCUAUUUAAAACAUUUUUUUCGCAUUUCUGUGUUUCAAAACUCUAUAUUCAUUUUUCAAGUUUAAAAUAUAUUUAUGCAUAACACUUUUGUUCAUCUGCAGUAUCGUCAUUGGAUGGUACACUAGCAUUUCAGGGCGAGAGGUCCACAAUAUUUCCAUGAAUUUUGCUGGUGUUAUGGAUCGGAAAGAAAGAAAUUAAUGUUAUUCUAGGACAGUCAUCGAUUGUUUAAAGAUUUAUGGACCAUUGUGAAAAGAUGCGAGUUUUCCCUGAUUUGACAACAGCUAAUCAUAUCAAUCCUCAAAAGUGGUCAGAGUGCAUCAUUUGAAGUCGUUAUUUAAAAAAAUCCGGGGGAGGCCCCUGUACUCUGAACAGUGGGAGGCGAUACCACAUUUCAUACUCUCUCGCGCAUGUGCGUAUAUUCUUUUAAAGCCUGGGUUCGCCCUUGCUUUUAAAUCAUAUUGCACCGUAAGAUGACAGCUUUUGAGUAGCACUGUUACUGGGGGAUAUUGACGUUUCAGUAGAUAUAAUAUGUCAGCUGAUUAUACUGGGAAUUAUCUCUGUCUAUUAAUAACUACGAGUAGAGGUAACUUACUGAUACUUGUCACGUCUCUAGCCAAAAUGUAUGCGCUUCUUUGUAACACACGCAUUAUAACACACGAAACAAAUUCUACAUAUUUUGUGUAAUUCAUAUUUAUGUUAAUUAUCUCAAAGAAACAAAGAAUUUUAAAACCUUUUAAAAACUUAAUCUUAUUAAUCAUUUUUCGAAAAUUAAACAAGUGAGCUCAUGACAAUGUGAAACUAAGGGUAUAUUGUUUAUAAAUUGCAGUGAAAAUGGUGUUCUUCAGUGCUACUAAAUUGCCCCAGAAUGCAGGAAAAGAAGCUUGUUCAACCAAAACUUAUUAACAACCCUGUACUUGUAAUUGGCUAACAUCCACAUAAACCACAUCAUAUUAUUGAGUAUUUGAAGACACAUGUUUGUCAUAGAAAGGGUUCGGUCAGACCCCGCCCCCUCCCACCCCCUCACCAACCCCUGAGAAAAUUAGCUGGAUCCGUGCAUGUAUUUACAUCUCCAUGCAAAUAAUAUCUACCAUAUGUACUACAGUCAGUCUAUAAAAAGAAUAUGACGUAUCGUAUUUUAUUUAUAGUAUACAGCGAACACAUCUGCGUAUUACACGUAACACGUUUAAUAGUGUUUUAGCGUCUUUACAGGAGGCAGGUUUGCAUAAAAAUCUUAGCUCUUAAUUAAACAAAACAAAAUGGAAGUCACUGGUAGGAGAGCUGAUAAAGACGGACUUGAAGCUGAAGGGAAGAAAAGUGAUAAACUGUGUGAAUCAUGCAAAGAUGAUGAUAUCACUACACAUGCAGAUGGAUUAUGUCGGGAGUGUAAGGAAUUUAUGUGCAAAACAUGCUUUCAGCAUCAUCUGAGAGCGAGGCAAUGUAGGAAGCAUGUGAUGGUUGAUGCUGACCCUACCUUGUUACUGUUGAGAAAAGUGUAAACAACAUUUGGAUGAAACAAUAAAAUACUACUGUCGAAAGCAUGACAUUGUAGGGUGUGGUGAUUGUAUGAUACGCGAGCAUGGUGUUUGUAAGCCUGAAUUUAUUGAGGACUUAUCAAAAGAUUUCCAAGUGAACAAAGAAUUCCAAACCCUAGUUAGAAAGGUGGAGAAAAUGACCUCUGCAAACAAAGAAAUCGGCAAGGCAAUUGAAGAUAAUAGGUAAGAACUCGGGAUAAUGUGUGAAACGGCACUGCACGAAAUAAGCCAAUUUAGAACAGACAUUAAUACGUUUUUGGACAAGGCUGAAGCUGAUGUUAUAAGUGAGGUGAAUCGCGUAAAGUCUGACAAUGAAAAUUUAUUGAACAAGUUAGAGAAAGAAUGCCAGCAACUUUCUUUGAAUAUUGACAAAGUGAAACAAAAGAUAGACGCAGAAUUCUACCAAGGAAACUCGUUGUUUAUUCACACAGUAGAGAGUAAGCCUGAAAUUCUCAACAUUGAACACGGAUGCCCGAUCACAAUCAGAAAACCGUAUGAUAAGCAUUAAAUUUAUACCUGACAAGCAGCUUCUCAAUAGCGUCGCUUCUGAUAAAAGACUUGGGCAUGUAGAUGUUACAGCUAGUGUUGGCACAAAGCAAAUGUCUGAGGAUAAGACUGGAAACAAGGUCUAUCGGACAAGUAGAACUGUACAAGCUUACGAAAAGAAAAACAAACGGAUGUCAGGUGCCGUGUUUGUCGGGGCGCGUGUACGUCCCAGGUCAUACUGGACAAAUGGUAGAAAGUUCCACCAUUUCCAGCCAGGUACUGUGACCAAUGCAGAUAGCAAUGGAAUCAUCACGGUGAGAUGGGAUAUUUCUGGGAAGCAAGCGUUUGGUUACAGACUAGGAAAAUUUAAUUCAAAAUCCGGUUUUGAUGAUUUAGAACUUAUUUAACAAUUUAUUCAGUAUUUUCUCAAUUAAACAUAUACUGUUACAGAAACUGCUUUUAAGAAGUGUAAUUAAUGAAUCAUAAUAGUCAAACAAAGGAAAUGAUCUUGAUGAUAGGGUGACAGUGUUAAGAUUCAACUAAAAGCUUGUUCAAUGCCUGGUCUAAAGACGUCAAUUUCUCCCAACCAAGAAAUAAGUAGUCUUUAACAAAUGGUGAAAGUGAUAUGAUUGAACUUUAAACAUUUCAAGUAACUUGUUUGAUGAUUUGCAUGAAAAGAAUAAUUAGAUUAAAACCAUGAUACACGAUCAAAUUUACUAAAUAUGUUUUGGUCGGUCUGAUGUUGUUUUGCAAACAAUGUUAAGGUUAAGAAGUAGGCAUUGAGAAACAAAAAUCAAA